CAGAAUGCAGUUUAUGCUCCUUAUAUCACAUGUCUAUCCUUUUAAAUCCUAACCGAAAUAACAAUACCUUGAUAACAAAAAUCUGUUAACAGUCCCUUUUAUUUUCUGUUCUGAUAUUUACCCCCCCCCCUUUUUUUCUGUCUAUAAAUUAAGGUUUAUCAUUACAGAAAAACAGAUAAAGCUAAGGAUGAACAUAGGGGCUGAUUUUCAAUAAAACUGACCUCAUUUCACAUUUAUAUUCACUUUAUAUUCAAACAGCGUUUGAUAGAAAUAUAUUGUUUUUUUGCUUAAUUUUGUGAAAUAAUCAAUAGAAAAAUAUAUGUUAGUA
rnacentral:lncRNA from 1 species